UACGAAGGGGGCUAGCGUUGCUCGGAAUUACUGGGCGUAAAGGGCGCGUAGGCGGCCCUGCAAGUCAGGCGUGAAAUUCCCGGGCUCAACCUGGGGGCUGCGCUUGAGACUGCGGGGCUAGAGGCCGAGAGAGGGUGGUGGAAUUCCCAGUGUAGAGGUGAAAUUCGUAGAUAUUGGGAAGAACACCGGUGGCGAAGGCGGCCACCUGGCUCGGUACUGACGCUGAGGCGCGACAGCGUGGGGAGCAAACAGGAUUAGAAACCCCCGUAGUCC
rnacentral:rRNA from 1 species